rnacentral:rRNA from 1 species
UACCAGCACCCCGAGUGGUCGGGACGAUUAUUGGGCCUACAGCAUCCGUAGCCGGUUCUACAAGUCUUCCGUUAAAUCCACCUGCUUAACAGAUGGGCUGCGGAGGAUACUAUAGAGCUAGGAGGCGGGAGAGGCAAGCGGUACUUAGUGGGUAGGGGUAAAAUCCGUUGAUCCAUUGAAGACCACCAGUGGCGAAGGCGGCUUGCCAGAACGCACUCGACGGUGAGGGAUGAAAGCUGGGGGAGCAAACCGG